CGGCAGGCAUCAGUAAGGAAUAUUGGACAAUGGGUGCGAGCGUGAUUCAUCCAUGGCGCGUGCAGGAUGACGGCCCUCCGGGUUGUUACCUGCUUUUAUAAGGGAAGAACUCUGGGGAUUUAUCUUCAGUUGGCGGUACCCGGGGAAUAAGCACCGGCUAACUCCGUGCCAGCAGCCGCGGUAAUACGGAGGGUGCAAGCGUUAUCCGGAUUUAUUGGGUUUAAAGGGUGCGUAGGCGGGCUGCCAAGUCAGUGGUGAAAUCCCGCAGCUCAACUGCGGAACUGCCAUUGAAACUAGCAGCCUUGAGUGCGGUUGGAGUGGAUGGAAUGUGUCAUGUAGCGGUGAAAUGCAUAGAUAUGACACAGAACACCGAUAGCGAAGGCAGUCCCCUAAGCCGCCACUGACGCUGAGGCACGAAAGCGUGGGUAGCGAACAGGAUUAGAUACCCUGGUAGUC
rnacentral:rRNA from 1 species